GACGAACGCUGGCGGCGCGCCUAACACAUGCAAGUCGAACGGAGUCACGAGGAGCUUGCUUUUCUUGACUUAGUGGCGAACGGGUGAGUAACGCGUGAGUAACCUGCCCUGGAGUGGGGGACAACAGUUGGAAACGGCUGCUAAUACCGCAUAAGCCCACGGAUCCGCAUGGAUCUGCGGGAAAAGGAUUUAUUCGCUUCAGGAUGGACUCGCGUCCAAUUAGCUAGUUGGUGAGGUAACGGCCCACCAAGGCGACGAUUGGUAGCCGGACUGAGAGGUUGAACGGCCACAUUGGGACUGAGACACGGCCCAGACUCCUACGGGAGGCAGCAGUGGGGGAUAUUGCACAAUGGGGGAAACCCUGAUGCAGCGACGCCGCGUGGAGGAAGAAGGUUUUCGGAUUGUAAACUCCUGUCGUUAGGGACGAUAAUGACGGUACCUAACAAGAAAGCACCGGCUAACUACGUG
rnacentral:rRNA from 1 species